CUCAGUGAUGUCAGCCUCGGCGGGCUCCUUUGCUUCCUCGGCUGUUUCAACGGCGGCAUCGUCUGGGCCAAAGGAGAAUGGGGAAACUCUACGGGGGAAACAAGAAACCCAUGGGUGGUAACAGAUUUCUAGAUGCACAAAGGGUCCUGCUGCAUUUGUUCCUGUUCCUUCUCGUCCAGGAUGCAAUUCCUAUCCUGGUCAAACCUAGUGAAGGCAGCCAUGCGUUCAGUGAUCUCAUGCUCUGUGUGCCCCAGUCUGAGGAGAACAGGAUGAUGGAAUGACUUCUGCCCUUUUGGGACUGUGAU